rnacentral:rRNA from 1 species
GAUGAACGCUAGCGGCAGGCCUAAUACAUGCAAGUCGAGGGGCAGCGCGGUAGCAAUACUGGCGGCGACCGGCGCACGGGUGCGUAACACGUAUGCAACCUACCUUCAACUGGAGGAUAGCCCGGGGAAACUCGGAUUAAUACUCCAUAACACAGGGAUCCCGCAUGGGAAUAUUGUUAAAGCUACGGCGGUUGAAGAUGGGCAUGCGUUCGAUUAGCUAGUUGGUGUAGGUAACGGCUCACCAAGGCUACGAUCGAUAGGGGGUCUGAGAGGAUGAUCCCCCACACUGGUACUGAGAUACGGACCAGACUCCUACGGGAGGCAGCAGUAGGGAAUAUUGGUCAAUGGGGCGCAAGCCUGAACCAGCCAUGCCGCGUGCAGGGAAGAAGGCCCUACUGGGUUGUAAACUGCUUUUGAUAGGGAACAAAUGCCAUUGCGAGUGGAGCUGAGUGUACCUA